CCUACGGGGGGCAGCAGUGGGGAAUAUUGGACAAUGGGGGGAACCCUGAUCCAGCCAUGCCGCGUGUGUGAAGAAGGCCCUCGGGUUGUAAAGCACUUUCAGUGAGGAAGAACGCCUGGUGGUUAAUACCCAUCAGGAAAGACAUCACUCACAGAAGAAGCACCGGCUAACUCCGUGCCAGCAGCCGCGGUAAUACGGAGGGUGCGAGCGUUAAUCGGAAUUACUGGGCGUAAAGCGCGCGUAGGUGGCUUGAUAAGCCGGUUGUGAAAGCCCUGGGCUCAACCUGGGAACGGCAUCCGGAACUGUCAAGCUAGAGUGCAGGAGAGGAAGGUAGAAUUCCCGGUGUAGCGGUGAAAUGCGUAGAGAUCGGGAGGAAUACCAGUGGCGAAGGCGGCCUUCUGGACUGACACUGACACUGAGGUGCGAAAGCGUGGGUAGCAAACAGGAUUAGAUACCCGAGUAGUC
rnacentral:rRNA from 1 species